AGCGAACGCUGGCGGCGUGCCUAACACAUGCAAGUCGAACGUGAACGCCUUCGGGCUAGUAAAGUGGCAGACGGGUGAGUAACACGUGGGUAAUCUUCCUUGAAGCUCGGAAUAACCUGCCGAAAGGCGGGCUAAUACUGGAUAGUACGCGAAGGCCGUGAAGGCCUUUUCGGGAAAGGGAGCUCGCAAGAGCCCUCACUUCAAGAUGAGCCUGCGUCCCAUUAGUUAGUUGGUGGGGUAAUGGCCUACCAAGACUUUGAUGGGUAGCUGGUCUGAGAGGACGAUCAGCCACACUGGAACUGAGACACGGUCCAGACUCCUACGGGAGGCAGCAGUGGGGAAUAUUGCGCAAUGGGCGAAAGCCUGACGCAGCAACGCCGCGUGAGUGAAGAAGGCCUUCGGGUUGUAAAGCUCUGUCAAGCGGGACGAAUAGCCUAUUAGUGCAUAGCUAGUAGGUCUGACGGUACCGCUGGAGGAAGCACCGGCUAACUUCGUGCCAGCAGCCGCCGUAA
rnacentral:rRNA from 1 species